rnacentral:rRNA from 1 species
UACGGAGGGUGCAAGCGUUAUCCGGAUUUACUGGGUUUAAAGGGUGUGUAGGCGGGUCUUUAAGUCAGUGGUGAAACCUCCGAGCUCAACUUGGAAACUGCCAUUGAUACUAUUGAUCUUGAAUUCUGUUGAGGUUGGCGGAAUAAGUCAUGUAGCGGUGAAAUGCAUAGAUAUGACUUAGAACACCGAUUGCGAAGGCAGCUAACUAAGCAGAUAUUGACGCUGAGGCACGAAAGCGUGGGGAUCAAACAGG